rnacentral:rRNA from 1 species
UUACCCAAUCCUAAUACAGGGAGGUAGUGACAAGAAAUAACAAUACAGGACUUUUUGGUUUUGUAAUUGGAAUGAGUUAAGUAUAAACCCCUUUACAAGUAUCAAUUGGAGGGCAAGUCUGGUGCCAGCAGCCGCGGUAAUUCCAGCUCCAAUAGCGUAUAUUAAAGUUGUUGCAGUUAAAAAGCUCGUAGUUGGAUUUCUGUUAAUAAUUUAUAUAAAAUAUUUUGAUGAAUAUUUAUAUAAUAUUAACAUAAUUCA